rnacentral:miRNA from 1 species
GAUAAAAUGCAUGAUGUCACUGU